rnacentral:rRNA from 1 species
GACGAACGCUGGCGGCGUGCUUAACACAUGCAAGUCGAACGAAGUGGCGAACGGGUGAGUAACGCGUAAUCAACCUGCCCUUCAGAGGGGGACAACAGCUGGAAACGACUGCUAAUACCGCAUACUGAAGGAGGGGAUUGCGUCUGAUUAGCUAGUUGGGGGGGGAACGGCCCACCAAGGCGAAGCUCAGUAGCCGGUCUGAGGAGAGGAACGGCCCCAUUGGGACUGGAACACGGCCCAGGCUCCUACGGGAGGCAGCAGUGGGGAAUCUUCCGAAAUGGAAGAAAGUCUGACGGAGCAACGCCGCGUGAGUGAUAACGGCCUUCGGGUUGUAAAGCUCUGUUAAUCGGGACGCGGUACCGGAAUAGAAAGCCACGGCUAACUACGUGCCAGCAGCCGCGGUAAUAC